GACGAACGCUGGCGGCGUGCUUAACACAUGCAAGUCGAACGGAAAGGCCUCAGCUUGCUGGGGUACUCGAGUGGCGAACGGGUGAGUAACACGUGGGUGAUCUGCCUUGCACUCUGGGAUAAGCUUGGGAAACUGGGUCUAAUACCGGAUAUGAACUGCCUUUAGUGUGGUGGUUGGAAAGUUUUUUCGGUGCAAGAUGAGCUCGCGGCCUAUCAGCUUGUUGGUGGGGUAAUGGCCUACCAAGGCGUCGACGGGUAGCCGGCCUGAGAGGGUGUACGGCCACAUUGGGACUGAGAUACGGCCCAGACUCCUACGGGAGGCAGCAGGGGGGGAUAUUGCACAAUGGGCGGAAGCCUGAUGCAGCGACGCCGCGUGGGGGAUGACGGCCUUCGGGUUGUAAACUCCUUUCGACAGGGACGAAGCUUUUUGUGACGGUACCUGUAUAAGAAGCACCGGCUAACUACGUG
rnacentral:rRNA from 1 species